UCAAAAGGUCAUCUGGUCGGCUUUCAAAUGAUUCCACCUGGGACCAUUCCUCAGCAAUGCACCAGAAGAGAGGGAUACCCUGAACAUCCACUAACUCUCUUCUGUAAACAUCCGGCUUGUUGUCCAUGUUUGAGACUCCAGGUACUUGUCUCGAGGAACUGGAAAUCCAGGUUUUCUUUCUACAGUCACUGCUUAAUGGGACUUUCACUUCGUAGGCUGUUUCCUUCAACCAAGAUAAUCUGUGUUAUGCAUUAAGAAAUCAAAAG